AUUUCAUUGGUCACAGAUAAAAAAUUUUGUAGGUCAUGACUCACAUCAUUGAUCACAAAUUCAAAAAACAAUAUGUCACAGGUUACACAUUUUCAAAUUUGAUGUUCACGGAUUACUUUUUAAUGACAAAUGUUCAAAUUUUAAUGUCACAGUUUACUAUUACAGACGAGACCAAAUAGUUGGUCAUAGACAUCCAACAUCCAAUCUCGACACCACCACUGCAUUCACCACCACAACACCACCACCACCAACACCAACACCAACACCAACACCAACAAUUGGUCACAUGUCAAAUAAUCGGUCACAUACUACCACCAACUCUACUGUCACCACCGCCACUUACAACAACCUUCACCCGUCACCACUGCCACAACCACAACACUACCACCAACAAAAUCGUCGCCACUAGAAAACGUCACGAUUGCCACCACCAAACACACCAAUAAUACCCAAUUUAAUGGUCACAGUCAACUAAACAAUUUGUGACCACCAUCUAUGCUUGUGACCACCACUUCACAAGCCCCCAACAACACCACCAUCGUCAUUGCUGCCAAAAGCACCAUCACCUAUAACAAAUAUAACACAUUGCAAAAAAACACCACCAAAUCGUUAUACCAGAUCCAUUGCCACUUCACCACCACAACCACCAACAAACCAACAUUUUCAACUACAAAACCACCACUUAUCAACACAUCCAUGCCAGAUUCACCACCUCCACCAACAAAAGCCACUCCACCACCAAUCUAACACCAUCGCACCUAAAUAAUUGAUCACAAUCAUAGUCAAUCGCCACCACCAACCAAAUAGUCACAAACCCCACCACCUACAAACACUAUUCAUCCUACUCAACCGUCAUCGCUCCACUCACCAACGCCAUCAGCAUUACAACUGUUUGCAAUUAUCACCACCAACAGCGCUAAAUCCACCACCACACCACAUCUCCAUGGUCAAAAUUCACUACCAAUUUCGCCAGAUUCAUCGUGCCAGCGCCAACAAAAGAAAAAAACCCAAACCCAACAAAAUUUGACUGACCAAAACCAACAAACCACAGUCCCCACAACCAUAAUCAUCCCUUAUCUUCUCCGACUUCGGUGUGUAACAACCACAACUAUCCGUUCUCUUCUCAAAUUGAUCACCACAACCAUCUCAAAUCACAACCACCCCUUCUAUUUUCUGACUUUGAUCUGCAGUGGCCCCUGAUCUAUGGCAACAAGCAGUGCUUCGCAAUCGAGCGCAACAAUCACAGCAAAGAGGGAGACAAGAGAUCGAUGGUGGCUUCUAGUGCAAUAGAGAGAGAGAGAGAGAGAGAGAGAGAGAGAGAGAUUGAAGUGCAAACCGUCCGAUUUUCAUAGUGAACUUGAUGCUCUAUAGUGAAGCCUCUAGCAUCCGCAACGAGAAUAGAGGAAGUGGCUACAUGGUGUGCUUCUCUGCAUUUGUGAACGAUGGCGGCACUAGUAUGGUAGAGAAGAAGGGAGAGAGAAUGAUGGUAGCACCAGCUUAGGGGUCGGCGGUGUAGAUAGAUUAGGUUUUGUAGUGGGUGGGUGAAUAAAUUGAAUUGAUACCUGAUUUUUGCUUAAAUAAUCUUCACAUCUGAAUUUUGAUUUAGAAAUUUUAAAUGCUUGCUUUUAUGUAAUUUCCUCUAGAUUCCAAUUCAUGGUCCAAUUGAGGUCCAAUUAUUAUUUCUUUUCCUCAAGUCCUU
rnacentral:lncRNA from 1 species